rnacentral:rRNA from 1 species
UACGUAGGGUGCGAGCGUUAAUCGGAAUUAUUGGGCGUAAAGAGCUCGUAGGUGGUUGGUCACGUCUGCUGUGGAAACGCAACGCUUAACGUUGCGCGUGCAGUGGGUACGGGCUGACUAGAGUGCAGUAGGGGAGUCUGGAAUUCCUGGUGUAGCGGUGGAAUGCGCAGAUAUCAGGAGGAACACCGGUGGCGAAGGCGGGACUCUGGGCUGUAACUGACACUGAGGAGCGAAAGCAUGGGGAGCGAACAGG